rnacentral:rRNA from 1 species
UGGGGAAUAUUGGGCAAUGGGCGAAAGCCUGACCCAGCAACGCCGCGUGAAGGAAGAAGGCUCUCGGGUUGUAAACUUCUUUUAAGAGGGACGAAACAAAUGACGGUACCUCUUGAAUAAGCCACGGCUAACUACGUGCCAGCAGCCGCGGUAAUACGUAGGUGGCAAGCGUUAUCCGGAAUUACUGGGUGUAAAGGGCGUGUAGGCGGGACUGCAAGUCAGAUGUGAAAACCAUGGGCUCAACCUAUGGCCUGCAUUUGAAACUGUGGUUCAUGAGUGAUGGAGAGGCAGGCGGAAUUCCCUGUAUAGCGGUGAAAUGCGUAGAUAUAGGGAGGAACACCAGUGGCGAAGGCGGCCUGCUGGACAUUAACUGACGCUGAGGCGCGAAAGCGUGGGUAGCAAACA